rnacentral:sRNA from 19 species
AUAAGAACGAUAAGGGCGACCGCGAGGUCGCCCAUUUUGUAUCUCGACUUAACAAUUUUGGUUUGGCCGCCGAUCAGUUAAGAAGAGUGCAAUUCUGGCGUUACGCAUAGCUGGCUGUUAGUGAGAUUCCUUACUGUUUACUUCUAACAGUUUUUGUAACCAAAACCCGGUUUGUCCCGGGUUUUUUUAU